GCCAGAGGCGGGGCCAACGCGGUCCUGGUGGCCCCGGCGAUCUGCAGGCAGCGGCAGCUGACAGGUGAACUUAGCCACUGCGGGUUGAGCUGUGGAGCCCUUGGUGUUGCUUCCUAUUACUGGCAGAGAUGACUCUGGUUCCCAUGAAGAUGUUAAUAAUGAUGGUUGACAAGGAUCAAAGGCAGGAAAACAUAAGGAAGUGUGCUGGAAGGAGCCUGGCGGAUGGAAUGGAAACCCCUUGAGAAGUUCACUCCUGAAUAAUUAAAAAGCAUCUGCCCAGCCUGUAAAGUCUGAAGUUGAAUUCUACUCUUCUACUUGCUGAUGAGGCAGGGAGAAAGGCUCAACUGUCAGAGAAACUAACAUUUUCUACCAUAUUAUGUUGAAUAGGAACCAGUUUGGUUAUCGACUCUUUUUUUCAGAGCAAUAUAAGAGGGCUUAAGCUGAAUUUAGUUCAUAUGACAGUAAAAACCUCUUCAAAUAAACUGAAAAACUUCCUAAGGACAUUUCUCUUUUUUUCAAGAACUUAAGCAAGCCUUUGUUUAUCACUGAAAAUCAAUAUAUUUGUUGAUGCUGAUGAAUUUUCAGUCUAAACGCAAAUAAAAGUCAAAAUGAAGAAAA